rnacentral:rRNA from 1 species
AGUGAACGCUAGCGGCGCGCCUAACACAUGCAAGUCGAGUGGGUUUAGACCCACGGCAAACGGCUGCGUAACACGUUGGUAUCUGCCCCAAACUCAGGGAUAACCCGCCGAAAGGUGGGCUAAUACCGGAUGGUCUCCCGCGCAAGCGGGAGUAAAGCUUUCGCGGUUUGGGAGGAGCCUGCGGCCUAUCAGCUAGUUGGUGAGGUAACGGCUCACCAAGGCAAUGACGGGUAGCUGGUCNGAGAGGACGACCAGCCAGAAUGGAACUGAGACACGGUCCAUACUCCUACGGGAGGCAGCAGUGAGGAAUCUUCCGCAAUGGGCGCAAGCCUGACGGAGCGACGCCGCGUGAAGGAUGAAGGCCCAUACGGGUCGUAAACUUCUGCUCUGAGGGACGAAAUUUUU